rnacentral:rRNA from 1 species
ACUCAAAGGAAUAGACGGGGGCCCGCACAAGCGGUGGAGCAUGUGGUUUAAUUCGAUGCAACGCGAAGAACCUUACCUGGGUUGGAAUACGUCGGACAGGAGUAGAGAUAUUCCCUCGUAGCAAUACGCCGACGGUUAGGUGCUGCAUGGCUGUCGUCAGCUCGUAUCGUGAGAUGUCGGGUUAAGUCCCUUAACGAGCGCAACCCUUAUCCCUAGUUGCCACCAUUAAGUUGGGCACUCUAUGGAGACUGCCGGUGUUAAACCGGAGGAAGGCGGGGAUGACGUCAAGUCCUCAUGGCCCUUAUGUCCAGGGCUACACACGUGCUACAAUGGCCGGUACAAAGGGUUGCCAACGCGCAAGCGGGAGCUAAUCUCAGAAAACCGGUCUCAGUUCGGAUUGAAGUCUGCAACUCGACUUCAUGAAGCUGGAAUCGCUAGUAAUCGCGGAUCAGAACGCCGCGGUGAAUACGUUCCCGGGCCUUGUACACACCGCCCGU